rfam:Clostridium sp. DL-VIII chromosome, whole genome shotgun sequence.
AUAAAUGAUGAAAUUUUUACCCGUAUAUGCUUGGAAAUAAGGUCUAAGUGUCUCUACCAGACUACCGUAAAUUGUCUGACUAUGGGUGUUUAUAGGUAUUUU